GUUGGGAAAUUAUGGCAACGCAUAAAAAUUAAGAGCCUUCUUUAAGAAGGACUCUUCCUUUCACAUGCCAAAAAUAAAAGGGGCGGCAUUUAUUUUAUGCAUGACUUUUGGUGGAUGUAGAAGAGUCCUUCUCCACUUAAAAUUAAUUCAAAUUGGAUAAGAAUCCAAUUUAAAUUGAUCCAAUCCCAUUGGAUCAAAAGCAACUGGUCUAGGUUA
rnacentral:lncRNA from 1 species